AUGUCCCAUAGCAACAGGAAACCCCACAACCAUGUUCGAGAGCUCACCAGGGACAUGGAUCUGGCCAGGUUACGCUCCUGUCCCCAGCCUCUGAGCAUGGAGACCCUGCAGGGUGUGCGGGAUGCGCUGGAGAAGUGGGGGGUGCUGGACGAGGAGCUGGGAGCUGGCUUUGAGCGGGCCUUGGCGGAGUUCCCCCGGGAGCCCCCGUGUGUGCAGCGCAACGCCCGGAUGGUGAUCCAGAGCGACGAGACUGAGCUGACGUUCUUCUCUGGGAAGGGCAAGUGUAAGAUCAGUAUCUCUGACAACGGCACCUGCUAUGAGGUGAAAGAGCCAACAGCCCAGGUGUACCUGGCCAGGUUACGCUCCCGUCCCCAGAAACUGAGCACCAAGUCCCUGCAGGGUGUGCGAGAUGUGCUGGAGAAGUGGGGGGUGCUGGACGAGGAGCUGGGAGCCAGCUUUGAGCGGGCCCUGGUGGAGUUCCCCCGGGAGCCCCGGUGUGUGAAGAGCAAUGCCCGGAUGGUGAUCAGGCAUGACCACACCGAGCUGGUGUUUGUGUCGGGCCAGGGGGAAUGCGAGAUCACUGUGUCUGAAGGCGACGGGGAGCCCUGCUAUGAGGUGAAGGAGCCCACGGUGACGGUGUAUCGGGAGAGGUUACGCGCUCGCCCACAAAGGCUGAGCGUGGGGAGCCUGCAGAGAAUCCGGGACAGGCUGGAGUGCUGGGAGGUGAUGACCGAGGAGCUGAGAUGCUCCUUCGAUCUGGUGCUGAGGGAAUUCCCCAAGGAGCCCGAGUGCGUCCGGGAGAACCCCAGGAUGUGCGUUGCCUGGGACGAGACGAAGCUGCGGCUGAUCUCUGAAGAUGGGGACUGUGAGGUCUCCGUGACAUGCUGUGACGGGAAACCCAGCUAUGAGGUGACAGUGAAGAGCUGGGCGAUGUAUCAGGAGAGGAUGCAUCUCUCUGAACAGCCACUGAGCAUUGAGAACCUGGAGGGCGUGCGGAGGGAGGUGAGGAGUCUGUCAGGGACUCCCAAGAAGGUCAAGGAGGCCUUGAACGUGGCCGUUAGGGAUUUCUCCGCUGAACCGGGCUGCCUGCAGGAGAAUGCCCGGCUGGUCAUUGAGUGCGACGGGGGCGAGAUGGUUUUUGUCUCCGGGAAAGGGGAGAAUAAAGUGAACGUGUGCAUCGUCGAUGGGAAGGUCAGUUACAGUGUCCAAGCCACCAGAUGGGUGACUUUCCUUAGGAUAUUGCGGAAACUACUCCCCAAGCUCCCCGAGGCCUUGCUGAAGCUCAUCCCCAUCUUAGGCCAAGUCCUAUCAGUGCUGUUGGUAGCGUUGUGA
rnacentral:lncRNA from 1 species